CAUGACUCCAGCAUAGUUAAUGGCAAAGACCUGGCAGAUGGCCCAGGCCAGCAGAGAUAACAGUGAGCACACCAGGAAAAAUAAACAUGCAAGCUGCUGUUCUCCCGAUUUCCAGCAAUUUUCUGCUGUGGCAAUACCGCAUGGUGGCUGAUGGAGGUGGCCUUCAAAAACCAUCUAUGCGAAACCAAAACUACCUCCAGACUGGAAGAAGCCUUGCCUGAGAUUCUGCAGGCAGAUUCCACAAGCAAGAUUAAGGAGGCAACCUUACAGCCUUCUUGUGUUGCUUUUUCUCAAUACUCUGCUUACACAUUGAAUGCACACGCUCAAGUACAUUGCUCAAGUCCCUCCCUAGGCAGAACUCCAGUGGCUCUACAGGAAUGGUCUUUGGAGCAUGCUGCCCAAGCUGGAGGGCUGCAUCUCCCCUGCCCAGGGGCUCCAGCCAGAGCAGUGCACCCAGGAAAGGCUGUGCUCAGUGGGAGGAGGGGGGGGAAGUGAGAUCCAAGACUCCAGAUCAUAACAAAACAAAGGAGACAGUGCUUUUUUUCUUUUUGAGCAUUCAGCAUUAGCAAAAUGCAAUAUCCAUUAUCUUGACUCCCCAUUUUCAGCAUUCUGACCAUUUCUGACUGCAUGCAGGUUCCUUUGCAUCUGAACCUUACUUCCACUUCAUAUUUCUUAACAUACGUAUCAAUUUCAUUUUUUUUAACCUAUACACCUCCUUUUGCCUUUUAGCUUCAACUCACAGCUGUGUGCCCUUUUUAUCCUUUUCCCCUCACCCUUCAUCUCUUGCCCCUUUUCUCAUGGUCUGCCUACAAACACAGCAACAUCACCUGUAUGACCUUCCUGGCUCAUGCUCA